CCUACGGGUGGCAGCAGUGAGGAAUAUUGGUCAAUGGGCGCAAGCCUGAACCAGCCAAGUAGCGUGAAGGAUGAAGGCCCUACGGGUUGUAAACUUCUUUUAUAAAGGAAUAAAGUGAGGCACGUGAGCCUUUUUGUAUGUACUUUAUGAAUAAGGAUCGGCUAACUCCGUGCCAGCAGCCGCGGUAAUACGGAGGAUCCGAGCGUUAUCCGGAUUAAUUGGGUUUAAAGGGAGCGUAGAUGGGUUUUUAAGUCAGAUGUGAAAGUUUGCGGCUCAACCCUAAAAUUGCAAUUGAUACUGGCAGCCUUGAGUACAGUUGAGGUAGGCGGAAUUCGUGUUGUAGCGGUGACCUGCUUAGCUCUCAC
rnacentral:rRNA from 1 species